rnacentral:tRNA from 1 species
CCUUCGGUAGCUCAGUUGGUAGAGCGGUGGACUGUAGUGUUCUAAUCUAAUCCUUGGUAAUCCAUAGGCCGCUGGUUCAAAUCCGGCCCGAAGGA